GUCCCAGUUCGGAUUGAAGGCUGAAAUUCGCCUUCAUGAAGCCGGAAUUGCUAGUAAUGGCAGGUCAGCAUACUGCCGUGAAUACGUUCCCGGGCCUUGUACACACCGCCCGUCACACCAUGAGAGUUGGGAAUACCCGAAGCCUGUGAGCUAACUUUUAGAGGCAGCAGUCGAAGGUAGAAUCAAUGAUUGGGGUGAAGUCGUAACAAGGUAGC
rnacentral:rRNA from 1 species